GAGUUUGAUCGUGGCUCAGGAUUAACGCUGGCGGCGUGCCUGACACAUGCAAGUCGAACGAGCGAAGGGACUUCGGUCCCCGAGCGAGUGGCGGACGGGUGAGUAACACGUGAGGAACCCACCCUCAAGUGGGGAAUAACUCGCAGAAAUGCGAGCUAAUACCGCAUGUGGUUGGACGUGGACAUCCACGACCAACUAAAGAUUUAUCGCUUGAGGACGGCCUCGCGGCCUAUUAGCUUGUUGGUGGGGUAACGGCCUACCAAGGCGAUGAU
rnacentral:rRNA from 1 species